rnacentral:lncRNA from 1 species
AUACAAAUAAUACAAAUACAAAUACAAUACGAAAAAUACAAUUAUUGUCAUAGGUCUAUUUAUACCUUUGUCAAACCAUUGCUAGAUUACAAUUUUAACAGGUCUAUUUAUACCUGUUUUCAAUCAAUUGCCAAUUUACCAUUUCUAUAUUACGAGGUACGAUUAUACGAGGAUUACGAGGUAGAUACGAUAUUACCUCUAUAACAAUACAAAUACAAUUAUUGUCAAAGGUCUAUUUAUACCUUUGUCAAACCAUUGCUAGAUUACAAUUUCUAUUUAGCCUAUAUUUCCAUUGUGACUAUUAGAAUGUCUAUCAAACAA